GCUCCCUGGUUCUCUGCUGGCGCUACGUACUGUGCUGUGACCUGGCGUCACACAGCGUAAGCGCGCACAAUGACCUGAUGCUGUGCGAUGUCAGGUCACAGUGCAGCGCGGUGCUGGCAGAAGAUUAGGUAGUGAUGAAUGCAGGAAGAGUUCUCUGGAUCUGCGAGUGGCGACAUCAUCCAGAGAAGAAGAGUCCUUAGACACAUCCUUAAACCGGGACAUGCACACAUCUGUCAUAUACCAUGGACUUGAUGGAAGUUCUGAGCAUCUGAUGUGAAAAGUGCUAUCAUGCAGGAACCAUUCCCCUGAGUGCUGUAUACAAACAGGGGAAAUAUGCCGAGAUCUUGUACAGAGAAUCUUGUCCAUCCCCCUCCGUGUCCUUGAAGUAAUCGUGUGCGGGGAACGUGCGGUGGAUAUCUCUUUUGAUGACACUCUCUUGGGCAGAAUCCUGA